GUGAGGAAUAUUGCGCAAUGGAGGCAACUCUGACGCAGCCAUGCCGCGUGCAGGAAGAAGGCGCUACGCGUUGUAAACUGCUUUUAACCGGGAAGAAACCCCAGGACGUGUCCUGGGUUGACGGUACCGGAGGAAUAAGCACCGGCUAACUUCGUGCCAGCAGCCGCGGUAAUACGAAGGGUGCAAGCGUUAUCCGGAUUCAUUGGGUUUAAAGGGUGCGUAGGUGGAGCGUUAAGUCAGUGGUGAAAUCCUGCAGCUUAACUGUAGACUUGCCAUUGAUACUGGCGCUCUUGAGUGCGCUUGAAGUGGGCGGAAUGUGCCGUGUAGCGGUGAAAUGCUUAGAUAUGGCACAGAACACCAAUUGCGAAGGCAGCUCACUAAGGCGAUACUGACGCUGAGGCACGAAAGCGUGGGGAUCGAACAGGAUUAGAAACCCUAGUAGUCC
rnacentral:rRNA from 1 species